UUUUAGCCCCGAUGAUCCCGAAGCUUCGGGAGAAAUCCUUUUCUUUUUGCUGCCAAAAAGAAAAGAUUAGAGUGAACAGCGGGAAACAGC
rnacentral:sRNA from 2 species